rnacentral:rRNA from 1 species
GUCUACAGCCAUGCCACCUUGAACGUGCCAGCUCUCAUUUGAUCUUGGAAGCUAAGCAGGGUCAGGCCUGGUUAGUACUUGGAUGGGAGACCACCUAGGAAGACCAGGUGCUAUAGGCG